UGUUCCUGAACGAGCGCACGGCGAGGAAGCGCUCGGCCAGCGCGGAGAACCCCUGCGCCGCGUGCGCGCGCCCGCUCUCGUCAGGGCACGACUGCUGCUCCCUCUUCUGCAAGGUGAAGCAUCUCGGGGAGAGCGAACGGGGGCUGAGAUGCGCGUUACGCGUCAACAGGAAAGCCGUGGCCGCAGCCGCCGCCGCCGCCGAGGAGGAGGCUGCCGUGCCGGAGCCGCAUAACGGGAAGAGGCCGAGGGCGUCGUCGUCGGACGCCGGGCCGAGCUGUGGCGGGUCGUUACGGAAGAGGAGCCGGAAGCAGCACUUGCCGGCUCGCUCGCCAUUCUGUUGAGGACUGGGCCGGCCGAGCUAUUGUUGAGGUUGUCCCGUGUGUUGUGCUUGGGCUGCUGUUUUUUCCCGUUCUCGUUCCGUUUUCCGUCCCGGAGCUUGUAGUAGGAUAUACUGGCGGCUCAUUCCUUAAGGGCUUGUUCAUUCAUGAUUUCCCCCUUGGAUUGAGGGGAUUGGGAGGGAUUAGAGUGAAAAUGAACUAAAAUCCCUGUCAAUCCCCUGGUUUUGUGAGGAUCGGGCAUAAGCGAACUUGGCCUAAAGUUGUCUCGCAUGUAUAUUGAUAUGAUUGGUAAAAGAGUAAAUAAAAAUAUGAACAAA